CCCUUAGAUGUCCGGGGCUGCACGCGCGCUACACUGAAGGAAUUAGCGUGCUAAAACCAUUGUCGAAAGGCAUUGGUAAACCCAUUAAAAUCCUACGUGAUUGGGAUCGGGAAUUGCAAUUAUUUCCCUUGAACGAGGAAUUCCCAGUAAGUGUGGGUCAUAAGCUCGCGUUGAUUACGUCCCUGCCCUUUGUACACACCGCCCGUCGCUGCCCGGGACUGAGCCGUUUCGAGAAAAGCGGGGACUGCUGCUGUCGGGGCUUUCGGGCCUUGGCUUCGGUGGAAACCGCUUUAAUCGCAGUGGCUUGAACCGGGCAAAAGUCGUAACA
rnacentral:rRNA from 1 species